GGGUUUAAUCUCUUAAAAACCCAACCAAAAUCAAAGAAAUGGAGAGGGAGGGUGUGAAGGCUCCCUUACCUCUUCUCCCUGCAGGUGCCAAGCUCAGGGGAGCUCUAGGGGCGUGGGUGAUACAAAUAGAGAUGCCACAAUCGCGAAAAACCCCCUGCAGUUCAAACUGCUCAAAACUAUCUCUGCGUACCGGUACACGGGCCCACGUACCGGUACACCUCCCACGAAACUGCCAAACCCGAGCCUCGGGUUGGCUGAGAAGCAGCCAAUGUUGAUGGCUAUACCGGUAUAGCCAUCACCCCGUACCGGUACACAGCCCUCUGAAGGCUACCCGAGAGCUAACCAAAAAUUCGAUUUUUCGGGUUUUGGUGCUAGACUUUAAACCUCAAUUCUCGGGACUCGAACCACGGGUCGGAACACUGUCUACGACCCUCCACAAAGUGUGGAAAAGCUCGGAACACAACCAAUCACUCGAACCUCGCAAUUUGCAAUGGUCCAGUGUGUUACAUUCACCCCUCCUAAAAAGGAGUUUCGUCCGCGAAACUCGAAAUGACAAGUACCUCAAGCCUCCAUCUGAAAAAGAUGGGGAUAGGGCUCCCUCAGUGCGCUCUCCAGCUCCCAAGUGGCCUCGCGCUCGUCGUGGUUGCUCAAAAGCACCUUCACGUAAGAAAUUUUUCGGUUCCGUAAUCUUUUCACCUCGCGAGCCAAAAUCCUCAAAGGUUGCUCCUCAAAGCUUAAGUCCUCUCUCAGCUCCAAAGGCGUAGCGUCCACAACAUGAGCUGGGUCGUGGAUGUACCUCCGAAAGACCGAUACAUGGAAUACAUUGUGUGCACCGAUAGGUUCAGCGGUAGAGCAAGUCUAUAUGCUACCGGGCCUACACGCUCCAAAACCUCAUAUGGUCCAAUGUAUCGGGGGCUCAACUUACCCCGGAUUCCAAAUCUUCUAAUCCCUCGAGUCGACGAGACUUUUAAGAAGACAUGGUCUCCAAUCUGAAACUCCAAGUCUCGUCGCCGCUUGUCAGCAUAACUCUUUUGCCUACUCUGGGCCGUCAACAGUCGCUAAGCUCCGUGAGAUACCUGCCUUCACAUCUAGCGGUGAAGUAACCUCACUUCAACCGCUCUCUAACCGAAAUCCGGGACUACACGAGGUCCUUCGUCUCCUGUUCCAAGCGUAACGAAACUNGCAAUGCGAACCUUGUCCUCUGCUUCCUGGAGCACAUCAGGGCCUAAAGCCAAUCUCUCGCCAACUUCACUCCAAUGAAGUGGCGAUCUACACUUCCGUCCAUAGAGUGCCUCGAACGGUGCCAUCUUGAUGCUUGCUUGAUAACUGUUGUUAUAAGCAAACUCUGCCAUCGGUAGAUGCUGCGACCAUCCUCCCUAGAAGUGAAUCACACAAGCUCGAAGCAUAUCCUCGAGAGUCUGUAUCGUACGCUCCGACUGCCCGUCACUCAGGGGGUGGAAAGCAGUACUGAAGUCCAAGCGCGUACCCAGAGCAUCCUGUAAGCUCCUCCAAAAGUGGGAUACAAAACGGGGGUCUCGAUCCGAUACUAUAGAAGUAGGCACCCCGUGCAAUCGCACAAUCUCUCCAAAUAAACCUGUGCGAGUCUCUCACCAGUCCAAGUAGUGUGGACAGGUAUGAAAUGUCCUGAUUUCGUCAAUCUAUCCACAAUCACCCAAAUAGCGUCAUGCCCGGCCUGCGAGCGGGGCAAUCCCAUCACAAAGUCCAUAGUGAUCUUCUCCCAUUUCUAUACGGGUAUCGGUAAACUCUGCAGCUUUCCCAUAGGAACUCGGUGCUCAGCUUUCACCUGUUGGCAAGUUAAGCAUCUAGCAACAAACUCACCAACAUCCUUUUUCACCCCGGGCCACCAAUAAAGCAACUUCAAGUCCUUGUACAUCUUGGUGCCUCCCGGAUGUAUAGCAUACGGUGCUCGGUGUGCUUCAUGAAGAAUAUCCUCUUUAAUGCCCAAGUACGCCGGUACACAAAGUCGUCAGCGAAAACGCAUAAAUCCCACACCGUCUAAAGUGAAGUCACCGGUGCAACCAUCAACCAUCUUAGCUUGAAUCUUUUGCAACUCUACAUCGUGAGUUUGCUUUUCCCUGAUCCUCUCCAAAAGAGUAGGUUGCACCGCCAAAGUCAUCAGCCUCAAAGGUGUAUCAGGAGCCACCACCUCCAACUCCAACCGCUUCAUCUGCUCGAUCAACGGCGGUUGAGUAACCACAAGCAUCGCUAAGUUUUCCGUCGAUUUCCUACUUAGCGCAUCAGCCACCACGUUAGCCUUGCCUGGGUGGUAGAGUAUCGUCAAAUCAUAAUCCUUGAGUAGCUCCAACCAUCUGCGCUGCCUCAAGUUCAACUCCUUCUGAGUGAAUAGAUAUUUUAAGCUCUUGUGAUCCGUAUAUACUUCGCAUCGCUCGCCGUAUAAGUAGUGGCGCCAUAGCUUCAAUGCAAAGACCACGGCUGCCAACUCUAAGUCGUGAGUAGGGUAAUUCCUUUCAUAAUCCUUCAAUUGGCGAGAUGCAUACGCGAUCACUUUUCCGUCCUGCAUCAAAACAUAGCCCAAUCCGUUAAAGGAAGCAUCACUAUAAAUCACAUACCCUGCUCUAGCUGUCGGCAAGGUAAGGAUCGGGGCGGUCGUUAAUCUCUGUUUCAACUCCUGGAAGCUCCUUUCACACGCAUCAUUCCAAAUGAACUUGGUGCCUUUAUGCGUGAGCCUCGUGAGGGGGGUAGACAACUUUGCAAAUCCCUCGACAAACCGCCGGUAGUAGCCGGCCAAACCAAUGAAGCUUCGUAUCUCAGUCACGCUCGUCGGCCUCGGCCAAUCCUUGAUAGCUUCAAUUUUCCUAGGAUCCACAGCUAUCCUGAUCCUGAAAUCAAAUGGCCCAAGAAUGCCACCUCUCUAAGCCAAAACUCACACUUUUUCAACUUGGCAUAAAGCUUCUUUUUCCGAAGCACUUGAAAUACUAGUCUCAAGUGUUCCUCGUGAUCCGCAUCACUUCGGGAAUAGACCAAAAUGUCGUCGAUGAACACCACGACGAACCUGUCUAAAUAAGGCUUGAAAACACGGUUCAUUAAAUCCAUAAAAGUUGCCGGGGCAUUAGUAAGCCCAACGGCAUAACGGUAAACUCAUAAUGUCCAUACCGUGUUCUAAAAGCCGUCUUCGAUACAUCCUCAGGUCUGAUCCUCAACUGGUGGUAUCCCGACUGCAAGUCGAUCUUGGAAUACACACAAGAUCCCUGGAGCUGAUGAAAUAGAUCAUCAAUCCUCGGUAAUGGAUACUUGUUCUUGAUCAUGACUUUGUUAAGUUCACGAUAGUCCACGCACAAACGAAGUGAUCCAUCAUUCUUCUUCACAAAUAGGACCGGUGCUCCCCAAGGUGACACACUUGGUCGCACAAAACCCUUGUCUAGAAGAUCCUGUAACUGUGCCUUCAGCUCUCUCAAUUCUGCUGGUGCCAUCCUAUAGGGUGCCUUUGAGAUUGGAGUAGUCCCGGGAACGAGAUCUACCACAAACUCAAUCUCCCUGUCAGGUGGCAUGCCUGAAAGCUCCGCUGGAAACACAUCUCCAAACUCCCGCAUUACGGGGAUAUCCUCAAUCCUAGGGGCGUCAUCCUCACCUCGCAACACAACAGUAGCCAAGUAGGCUACACAGCCUCUACCUAUUAACUGCCGAGCUCGAGAAGAGCUAAUCGUCAUCGCAAAAAGUGAACUCUGGCAUCCUCGGUACACAACCUCCGCCUGCCCCGGCUCUCUAAACGUCACCGUUCGAUCCUUGCAAUCGAUGGUGGCAAAGUACUUGGUCAACCAAUCCAUGCCCAACACAACAUCAAACUCCCCGAGUUUAUGCAAAGCUAGCAAGUCCGCGGGCAUGAUCCAAUCUCCAACCCGAACAGGGCAACUGGGGCAAAACUCCCGAAUGUCCAAAGAAUGAUCGGGUACAACAACUCGUCCCGGAUGCAACAAGGAUACAAGUGGGAUGCCAUGCAACUCGGCAAACAGUCGGUUUAUGAAUGAAUGCGAUGCACCGGUAUCAAACAAUGCUCUAACUCGAAUACCAUAAAGUAAAAUAAUACCUGCGACCACAUUCUCGGCUGCCGCCGCCUCCUCAGUCUGGGCCGCAUACAUGCGGCCGCUCGGGGCCUGUCGUGACCCCUCCGCCUGUCGCUGAACAGGUGGCCGUCCGACCUGGUGAUGCGCGGAAGAUGUCCCCUGGCUGGGACCUGGCGAUGCUGGUGCAGAUGCCGAAGAUGGCGCUGGCAAUGGACUCCUCGGACAGUCCGACUGGAAGUGGCCCUCCUGGCCACACAGGAAGCACCUGCCCCGGCUGCGUGAACACUAUCGCCGGUAGUGGGGACCACCACAGAUCACGCAGCGGGGAGCCUGGCGACGAUCGGGUCCUCCUCGCUGAGUAGACGAGCCACGUCCUCGCGACUGGCUCCGGCUCCUGGGGUGCCUCAGCGGCCUCCGUGAGUGCGUCUGACUCGCACCCUCAGCUAGAGGCCUCUUGCCCUUCCCUUUCUCCGAGCUCUCGCGACGCUCCUGCAGAUCCACCGCUCCUGCCUCCACUAUCAACGCUCGAUCCACAACCUCCCGAUAGGUCUGGAGGUUGGAAGACUACACCAACCGGAAGAUAGAAGGCCGCAAACCGCGCUAAAAAAUACGGGCCUUGUCCUCGUCAUCCCUCACAACAAACGGUACACAGUGAAGUAGCCGGGAGAACUCCCUCUCGUACUCGGCCACUGUUCGCUCGUCCUGGCGCAAGCUGCGCAAAUCCUGCUCCAUCUUCCUCUUGACGCUGGUCGGAAAGUAAUGCGCUAGAAGAAGCUCCUUGAACCUCGUCCAAGUAAUCGCUGCCAAGUCGGUGUUGGGGUUGUCCUGAAUAUCCAACCACCAACGGUAGGCCUCGCCGUCAAGAAAGUGAGUGGCAAGCCAAACUCUGUCCCGCUCCUCCACAAAGGUGUCUCGAAAAAGCUUCUCCAUGUGCAUCAACUACUUCUCAACAAUCCAGUGGUCGACGUUCUCGCCAUCAAACGUCCUUGGGCUGCACCUCCUGAACUCACUGAGGCGAUCCAUGAGUCGAUCCCGCUCGGCUCCCUCGGCCCUCACGAGGAAAGCCGCCCCCGUGGCCGGUCUCUGAACUGGGUGUGCCGCAGCCACCUCCUCCCGAGGUGUGGUUGCCGGUGCCGCACGGGAAGAACUGGGCGCGGGGGACUGCGCUCUCGGUGCGAUGUCCACCAUGGGUGCUGGCGGUGUGGGAACCUGGGUCUCCCUCGAAGCUGCCGCCUGCUGGAGUAGGAGGUCCUCAAGUUGCUUCAUCCGCGCCUCCUGUCGCUGAGCCACCUCAGCCUGUCACUGCGCCACUGCCGUCUGCUGCGCCAACAGAUCAGUGAGAACUGCAAGCUGGGUCCUCAAGUCACGGACCUCACUAGAUCCGGAAGUAGCGGAGGUCUCGACCUCCUUAGGGUGUGCUGCAUCAUCCGCCCCGGCAGACUGGGAGCGUGUAACCGGCAUCGUCACUACAAAACAUAAAAGCGCAAGUUAGUAACCCACGCUAUCGCAUCCCCGCUCAAAUAAGUAAGUACUCAAAUCAUGCGAAAGUAAGAAAGUGUCCUUCACUACUAACUCCCGAUGUUACGUUGUCUGCCGCCAACGUAACCCUCCGCGAAGUUAGAAGUCAUACACUCCGAUCGAACUCUAACUUUUUAGAGUUAUCUUCAAACCCAAUCGAAAUACUUUCGCUAACAAUUCAAUUGGACCUCGUCUCUCGCGAGCCUAUUUUCUAUAAUCCAACUGGCCUAAGGUUUGCAAGGUCCUUUAAGACUCAACCCUAGGCUCUGAUACCAAAUUAAUCUGUCACGCCCCGGGAUCGGCAGAGGCCCUCUCGGGAGCGCGCCCAGACCCGCCAUAUGUCUACACAUACAAGGCGUCUACAAUAAAAACGAAAGUAAAAGCAAGAAAUAAUCUACAACUAGAGAUAUCAGAGCAAAUAUAAUUUUAUCAUCUAUAAGGAGAGAGUACAAAGAUCACAACUAAACCAUAGAAGUAAAAUAUAAAGUAAUACAAUAUCUGUCCAAAAGUACACAAAUGGGGUGGUCUCUAGUACACUGGUACAGCUCUCAACCUCUCCAAAAUAAAAACAUCGAGAGGUAGACCACCUAGCGACUCGUCACUCGCUGAAGAGCUAGCUCGAAGCCACGCCCUUCCCUCGGUCCCUAGCCUCUUCCGGCGUGGAAGGCUCUGAAAGAAAACAUAAAACAGAGGGCGUGAGAACUAUAAUUUAUAGUUCCCAGUGGGCAAUUACUGACCUCAGCUCAAUGCACCACUAGGUCCCAAAAGAAAAGAGUAAGUAACGACAAUAAUAAUAAGCAAUAAAGAGCGAGUAUAAGAACUGCUGAAAGAAAGCAUAAAUAAAAUGCUAUACUACUAUGUCUCAAGUAAGCAUGAUGUCAUGGGGAUGUACAUCUACGCUAUCAUAAGAUAAUAUGUCCAAUGCAUAAGGAGUAAGCUCUAUCAAAGCAACCCAGUAUACUAUGAUGUAAUGAAUGAAACAGGCAAGUAUACUAUAUAUAUCCCAAUGCUAUGUCAUGAGCAUGUUAAGUAAUCCAACUACUAAGCCUAUCUAGUAGUGAUUAUACAUUCUCAACACUGUGUCGAUUUCCAUUUCCAAUUAAAGACCUACCAAAGGUAGUCGAGCUUGUGCCGCCUAAGUGCCUGUGGUAGCCGAACAUCCCCACUCUUGGAAUGUGUCUGUCCCACUCGACCCCGUAGGCUUCUCAAUACCGCACGAGCGAACAUAAGUCGCGUAGGCUAACUCCGGAGUGCCGGCUUGUAGGGAGCGACCCUCAUAAGCAUGUGCGAAUGAGCACAAAUGGCAAACAAGCAUAGUCAACGUCUCAAGUAUCCAAUCCUCAUGUCUCUAACAUGGUAUCGUCACUAGCAUCCCGAAAAUCUAGUUUAAGUCACAAGGUGAAGUUCUAACAUUCACUACGCCUAGUGCCCCUUGAUGACACUUAGACAAUUUAAUGUUCAACAUAAUCCAAAUCCCUCAAUGGCCCUAACCACUAGGUUCACACAUAUCCCGAGCUCAAUGCCGCUUGAUGACAUUAGCUCUCUAAUUCACAUACAUUCUAGUUCGAUGCCUCUAUAUGGCAAUUUUGUCAUCUUUCAUGUCUCAAAUAAACCUAGGUUUAAAUACAUGAAUCAAAGCUUAUUUUCAUUAUAAGGAACAUGGCCCAACAUGAGAAUGCUAAACAAUCAACCAUAAGCUUCAUAUGCGACUCUCUAUUACAUAGAAGUCCAAAAUUGCACUAUAUGUAACAUAGGCAUUUUAAGCAUUCUAAAAUUCACAAUAAAUACAUAUAACAAGAAUAUGCCAUUGCUUUUUCAUUUACAAUACUUUAAAUCAUCACACAAUGAGGUUUUUUCAUUGUGUGGCUAGGUCAAACCCACCGAACCGUCGCGUAGUGCCUUGUUUCGCCGAACGAAGUUGUCCAUGAGUCUCAAAAUAUCCUAAAAGUACUGAGCGAAAAGAUACACGGGCAUUACGAUCAACUAUAAGAUCAAACAUUAACCUAGAAGCAAAAGGGGCCAAAACUCACCUCAAGAGAAGAAAUCUCUUCCAAAGCUCCAAAAGAGAGCUAGAACCCUUCCAAUCCAAGCCCAAGGAAGGUUCUAAACCAAAGAAUCUAGCUCCAAAAGCCCUAGAUUCGAAACGCCCAAAAUAAACCCUAAGUUCUCAUUUUAGGGUUCCAUCUACUAUAAAGCAUCAAAACCAAAAUCUAGAGGGAGAGAAUAAGCUACCAACCUCUUAGAAGCUUCAAUCCAAGCUCAAGGUUCUCAAACUUCAAGGAUCCACCCUCACCAAGCCUCAAGUCCAAGCUCCAAGGGUGAAGAAGCCUCCAAAGAAGCAAAAGAGAGCAAAAGAGGGGGUUUAAUCUCUUAAAAACCCAACCAAAAUCAAAGAAAUGGAGAGGGAGGGUGUGAAGGCUCCCUUACCUCUUCUCCCUACAGGUGCCAAGCUCAGGGGAGCUCUAGGGGCGUGGGUGAUACAAAUAGAGAUGCCACAAUCGCGAAAAACCCCCUGCAGUUCAAACUGCUCAAAACUGUCUCUGCGUACCGGUACACGGGCCCACGUACCGGUACACCUCCCACAAAACUGCCAAACCCGAGCCUCGGGUUGGCUGAGAAGCAGCCAAUGUUGAUGGCUGUACCGGUACAGCCAUCACCCCGUACCGGUACACAGCCCUCUGAAGGCUACCCGAGAGCUAACCAAAAAUUCGAUUUUUCGGGUUUUGGUGCUAGGCUUUAAACCUCAAUUCUCGGGACUCGAACCACAGGUCGGAACACUGUCUACGACCCUCCACAAAGUGUGAAAAAGCUUGGAACACAACCAAUCACUCAAACCUCGCAAUUUGCAAUGGUCCAGUGUGUUACACC
rnacentral:lncRNA from 1 species